GUGCACAUGGUGGAUGCCUUGGCAGUCAGAGGCGAUGAAAGACGUGGUAGCCUGCGAAAAGCUUCGGGGAGUCGGCAAACAGACUUUGAUCCGGAGAUCUCUGAAUGGGGGAACCCAGCCAGCACAAGCUGGUUAUCUUGUACUGAAUACAUAGGUGCAAGAGGCGAACCAGGGGAACUGAAACAUCUAAGUACCCUGAGGAAAAGAAAUCAACCGAGAUUCCCUUAGUAGUGGCGAGCGAACGGGGACUAGCCCUUAAGCUUCUUUGAUUUUAGCGGAACGCUCUGGAAAGUGCGGCCAUAGUGGGUGAUAGCCCUGUACGCGAAAGGAUCUUAGAAGUGAAAUCGAGUAGGACGGAGCACGAGAAACUUUGUCUGAAUAUGGGGGGACCAUCCUCCAAGGCUAAAUACUACUGACUGACCGAUAGUGAACUAGUACCGUGAGGGAAAGGCGAAAAGAACCCCGGAGAGGGGAGUGAAAUAGAACCUGAAACCGUGUACGUACAAGCAGUAGGAGCCCC
rnacentral:rRNA from 13 species